rnacentral:tRNA from 1 species
GCGAGAGUGGCGGAAUUGGUAGACGCAACAGGUUUAGGUCUUGUCGCCGUCAGGCGUGCGAGUUCGAGUCUCGCCUUUCGCACCA